GUGUCAGCCGCCGCGGUAAUACAGAGGGUGCAAACGUUGUUCGGAAUCACUGGGCAUAAAGCGCAUGUAGGCGGCUCCGUAAGUGUCGGAUGAAAUCCCACGGCCUACCCGUGGAACUGUUCGGCAUACUGCGGUGCUAGAGGAUGGUAGAGGAGAGCGGAACUCUUGGUGGAGCGGUGAAAUGCGUAGAUAUCAAGAGGAACACCGGUGGCGAAGGCGGCUCUCUGGUCCAUUUCUGACGCUGAGGUGCGAAAGCUAGGGGAGCAAACGGGAUUAGAAACCCCGGUAGUCC
rnacentral:rRNA from 1 species